rnacentral:rRNA from 1 species
AUACGAAGGUCCCGAGCGUUAUUCGGAAUCACUGGGCGUAAAGAGUAUGUAGGCGGUUUGGUAAGUCAGGUGUGAAAUCCCGGAGCUCAACUUCGGAACUGCAUCCGAUACUGCCAGACUAGAGUAAUGGAGAGGCAGGUGGAAUUCUCGGUGUAGCAGUGAAAUGCGUGGAUAUCGAGAGGAAGACCAAUGGCGAAGGCAGCCUGCUGGACAUUUACUGACGCUGAGAUACGAAGGCUAGGGGAGCGAAAGGGAUUAGAAACCCCGGUAGUCC